rnacentral:rRNA from 1 species
GACGUAGGGGGCCAGCGUUGCUCGGAAUUACUGGGCGUAAAGCGCGCGUAGGCGGUUUUGCAAGCCAGAGGUGAAAUGCCUGAGCUCAACUCAGGAAUGGCCUUUGGGACUGCGAGGCUUUGAGGACUGGAGAGGUGAGUGGAAUUCCCAGUGUAGAGGUGAAAUUCGUAGAUAUUGGGAAGAACACCGGUGGCGAAGGCGGCUCACUGGCCCGUUACUGACGCUCAGGCGCGACAGCGUGGGGAUCAAACAGG